rnacentral:piRNA from 1 species
UAGAGCCUCUCCAUGAAAGUGAUUGGACUUUU